ACGGAAGGCAGCAGUGAGGAAUAUUGGUCAAUGGACGGAAGUCUGAACCAGCCAAGUCGCGUGCGGGAUGAAGGCCCUACGGGUCGUAAACCGCUUUUGUACGGGGAUAAAGUCACCCACGUGUGGGUGUUUGUAGGUACCGUAAGAAUAAGGAUCGGCUAACUCCGUGCCAGCAGCCGCGGUAAUACGGAGGAUCCGAGCGUUAUCCGGAUUUAUUGGGUUUAAAGGGUGCGCAGGCGGGCUGCUAAGUCUCCGGUGAAAUGUCAGGGCUCAACCUUGGCACUGCCGGAGAUACUGGCGGCCUUGAGUCGUGUCGAGGAUGGCGGAAUGCAGCGUGUAGCGGUGAAAUGCUUAGAUAUGCUGCAGAACUCCGAUUGCGAAGGCAGCUGUCCAGAGACGAACUGACGCUGAGGCACGAAAGCAUGGGUAUCAAACAGGAUUAGAUACCCUGGUA
rnacentral:rRNA from 1 species